rnacentral:tRNA from 1 species
GGGAAUGUGGCUUAGUGGUAGAGUGCUUGCCUAGCAUGCAUUAAGCCCUGGGUUCAAUUCCUCAGCACCA